rnacentral:sRNA from 1 species
CCCUAGCCCAGAUAGGAGCGGCAUCCUUUUAUGCUGGGGUUCAGCAUAAAAGAUAUAGUGGAUAGCUGGAUUAGCU